rnacentral:rRNA from 1 species
GACAGAGGGUGCAAACGUUGCUCGGAAUCACUGGGCGUAAAGGGCGUGUAGGCGGGCAGGUAAGUCGGGUGUGAAAUCUCGGAGCUUAACUCCGAAACUGCAUUCGAUACUGCCGUGCUUGAGGACUGGAGAGGAGACUGGAAUUUACGGUGUAGCGGUGAAAUGCGUAGAUAUCGUAAGGAAGACCAGUGGCGAAGGCGGGUCUCUGGACAGUUCCUGACGCUGAGGCACGAAGGUCAGGGGAGCAAACGGG